UGCAAGUCGAGCGGAGUGAUGGUGCUUGCACUAUCACUUAGCGGCGGACGGGUGAGUAAUGCUUAGGAAUCUGCCUAUUAGUGGGGGACAACAUUUCGAAAGGAAUGCUAAUACCGCAUACGUCCUACGGGAGAAAGCAGGGGAUCUUCGGACCUUGCGCUAAUAGAUGAGCCUAAGUCGGAUUAGCUAGUUGGUGGGGUAAAGGCCUACCAAGGCGACGAUCUGUAGCGGGUCUGAGAGGAUGAUCCGCCACACUGGGACUGAGACACGGCCCAGACUCCUACGGGAGGCAGCAGUGGGGAAUAUUGGACAAUGGGCGCAAGCCUGAUCCAGCCAUGCCGCGUGUGUGAAGAAGGCCUUAUGGUUGUAAAGCACUUUAAGCGAGGAGGAGGCUACUGAAGUUAAUACCUUCAGAUAGUGGACGUUACUCGCAGAAUAAGCACCGGCUAACUCUGUGCCAGCAGCCGCGGUAAUACAGAGG
rnacentral:rRNA from 1 species